AGCGUACACGGUGGAUGCCCUGGCAGUCAGAGGCGAUGAAGGACGUGCUAAUCUGCGAUAAGCGUCGGUAAGGUGAUAUGAACCGUUAUAACCGGCGAUUUCCGAAUGGGGAAACCCAGUGUGUUUCGACACACUAUCAUUAACUGAAUCCAUAGGUUAAUGAGGCGAACCGGGGGAACUGAAACAUCUAAGUACCCCGAGGAAAAGAAAUCAACCGAGAUUCCCCCAGUAGCGGCGAGCGAACGGGGAGCAGCCCAGAGCCUGAAUCAGUGUGUGUGUUAGUGGAAGCGUCUGGAAAGGCGCGCGAUACAGGGUGACAGCCCCGUACACAAAAAUGCACAUGCUGUGAGCUCGAUGAGUAGGGCGGGACACGUGGUAUCCUGUCUGAAUAUGGGGGGACCAUCCUCCAAGGCUAAAUACUCCUGACUGACCGAUAGUGAACCAGUACCGUGAGGGAAAGGCGAAAAGAACCCCGGCGAGGGGAGUGAAAAAGAACCUGAAACCGUGUACGUACAAGCAGUGGGAGCACGCUUCGGCGUGUGACUGCGUACCUUUUGUAUAAUGGGUCAGCGACUUAUAUUCUGUAGCAAGGUUAACCGAAUAGGGGAGCCGAAGGGAAACCGAGUCUUAACUGGGCGUUAAGUUGCAGGGUAUAGACCCGAAACCCGGUGAUCUAGCCAUGGGCAGGUUGAAGGUUGGGUAACACUAACUGGAGGACCGAACCGACUAAUGUUGAAAAAUUAGCGGAUGACUUGUGGCUGGGGGUGAAAGGCCAAUCAAACCGGGAGAUAGCUGGUUCUCCCCGAAAGCUAUUUAGGUAGCGCCUCGUGAAUUCAUCUCCGGGGGUAGAGCACUGUUUCGGCAAGGGGGUCAUCCCGACUUACCAACCCGAUGCAAACUGCGAAUACCGGAGAAUGUUAUCACGGGAGACACACGGCGGGUGCUAACGUCCGUCGUGAAGAGGGAAACAACCCAGACCGCCAGCUAAGGUCCCAAAGUCAUGGUUAAGUGGGAAACGAUGUGGGAAGGCCCAGACAGCCAGGAUGUUGGCUUAGAAGCAGCCAUCAUUUAAAGAAAGCGUAAUAGCUCACUGGUCGAGUCGGCCUGCGCGGAAGAUGUAACGGGGCUAAACCAUGCACCGAAGCUGCGGCAGCGACGCUUAUGCGUUGUUGGGUAGGGGAGCGUUCUGUAAGCCUGUGAAGGUGUACUGUGAGGUAUGCUGGAGGUAUCAGAAGUGCGAAUGCUGACAUAAGUAACGAUAAAGCGGGUGAAAAGCCCGCUCGCCGGAAGACCAAGGGUUCCUGUCCAACGUUAAUCGGGGCAGGGUGAGUCGACCCCUAAGGCGAGGCCGAAAGGCGUAGUCGAUGGGAAACAGGUUAAUAUUCCUGUACUUGGUGUUACUGCGAAGGGGGGACGGAGAAGGCUAUGUUGGCCGGGCGACGGUUGUCCCGGUUUAAGCGUGUAGGCUGGUUUUCCAGGCAAAUCCGGAAAAUCAAGGCUGAGGCGUGAUGACGAGGCACUACGGUGCUGAAGCAACAAAUGCCCUGCUUCCAGGAAAAGCCUCUAAGCAUCAGGUAACAUCAAAUCGUACCCCAAACCGACACAGGUGGUCAGGUAGAGAAUACCAAGGCGCUUGAGAGAACUCGGGUGAAGGAACUAGGCAAAAUGGUGCCGUAACUUCGGGAGAAGGCACGCUGAUAUGUAGGUGAAGUCCCUUGCGGAUGGAGCUGAAAUCAGUCGAAGAUACCAGCUGGCUGCAACUGUUUAUUAAAAACACAGCACUGUGCAAACACGAAAGUGGACGUAUACGGUGUGACGCCUGCCCGGUGCCGGAAGGUUAAUUGAUGGGGUUAGCGGUAACGCGAAGCUCUUGAUCGAAGCCCCGGUAAACGGCGGCCGUAACUAUAACGGUCCUAAGGUAGCGAAAUUCCUUGUCGGGUAAGUUCCGACCUGCACGAAUGGCGUAAUGAUGGCCAGGCUGUCUCCACCCGAGACUCAGUGAAAUUGAACUCGCUGUGAAGAUGCAGUGUACCCGCGGCAAGACGGAAAGACCCCGUGAACCUUUACUAUAGCUUGACACUGAACAUUGAGCCUUGAUGUGUAGGAUAGGUGGGAGGCUUUGAAGUGUGGACGCCAGUCUGCAUGGAGCCGACCUUGAAAUACCACCCUUUAAUGUUUGAUGUUCUAACGUUGACCCGUAAUCCGGGUUGCGGACAGUGUCUGGUGGGUAGUUUGACUGGGGCGGUCUCCUCCUAAAGAGUAACGGAGGAGCACGAAGGUUGGCUAAUCCUGGUCGGACAUCAGGAGGUUAGUGCAAUGGCAUAAGCCAGCUUGACUGCGAGCGUGACGGCGCGAGCAGGUGCGAAAGCAGGUCAUAGUGAUCCGGUGGUUCUGAAUGGAAGGGCCAUCGCUCAACGGAUAAAAGGUACUCCGGGGAUAACAGGCUGAUACCGCCCAAGAGUUCAUAUCGACGGCGGUGUUUGGCACCUCGAUGUCGGCUCAUCACAUCCUGGGGCUGAAGUAGGUCCCAAGGGUAUGGCUGUUCGCCAUUUAAAGUGGUACGCGAGCUGGGUUUAGAACGUCGUGAGACAGUUCGGUCCCUAUCUGCCGUGGGCGCUGGAGAACUGAGGGGGGCUGCUCCUAGUACGAGAGGACCGGAGUGGACGCAUCACUGGUGUUCGGGUUGUCAUGCCAAUGGCACUGCCCGGUAGCUAAAUGCGGAAGAGAUAAGUGCUGAAAGCAUCUAAGCACGAAACUUGCCCCGAGAUGAGUUCUCCCUGACUCCUUGA
rnacentral:rRNA from 1 species